rnacentral:rRNA from 1 species
GAUGAACGCUAGCGAUAGGCUUAACACAUGCAAGUCGAGGGGCAGCGAGGGUAGCAAUACCUGUCGGCGACCGGCGCACGGGUGAGUAACGCGUAUGUAACCUGCCCGCAACAGGGGGAUAACCCGGCGAAAGUCGGACUAAUACCGCAUAAAACAGGGGUCCCGCAUGGGAAUAUUUGUUAAAGAUUUAUCGGUUGCGGAUGGGCAUGCGUACCAUUAGGUAGUUGGUGAGGUAACGGCUCACCAAGCCUUCGAUGGUUAGGGGUUCUGAGAGGAAGGUCCCCCACGCUGGUACUGAGACACGGACCAGACUCCUACGGGAGGCAGCAGUGAGGAAUAUUGGUCAAUGGGCGAGAGCCUGAACCAGCCAAGUCGCGUGAAGGAUGACUGCCCUAUGGGUUGUAAACUUCUUUUACAAGGGAAUAAAAUGAGAUACGUGUAUUUUAUUGCAUGUACCUUGGGAAUAAGCAUCGGCUAACUCCGUG